rnacentral:tRNA from 1 species
GGCCGGUUGGCCCAAUGGCAAGGCGUCUGACUACGAUUCACCGUGGCAUCAGGAGAUUGUGGGUUCGACCCCCAUGCUGGUCA